rnacentral:pre_miRNA from 1 species
AAGCUACUCCCUCCGUUCGGAAUUACUUGUCAUAAAAAUGGAUGUAUCUACAACUAAAAUACAUCUAGAUACAUUUAUUUCUUGGACGAGUAAUUCCGAACGGAGGGAGUAGAUG